rnacentral:rRNA from 1 species
GUAGGUAACCUGCCUGGUAGCGGGGAGUAACUAUUGGAAACGAUAGCUAAUACCGCAUAAGAGUAGAUGUUGCAUGACAUUUGCUUAAAAGGUGCAAUUGCAUCACUACCAGAUGGACCUGCGUUGUAUUAGCUAGUUGGUGGGGUGACGGCUCACCAAGGCGACGAUACAUAGCCGACCUGAGAGGGUGAUCGGCCACACUGGGACUGAGACACGGCCCAGACUCCUACGGGAGGCAGCAGCC